AAGAAUUAUUUUCACUUUUAAUCUUACUACUAUUAGGUCACUUCCACAUCCAAUUCUAAAGCAUUACUUUUAUCAUAUUUUGGCGUAUAAUUUUCAAUUUUUCAACGAAAUCUCUGAUAGAAAACAACCUACAUGCAUCACAUUUCUAAUUCAAAGUCAUCUUCUUAGCUUGUUUUGCAAACCUUCCUUUGAAGGGUAGCAAUCUCGUUCAUAAUUCUUUCACCCUGAAAUGCAUCAAUCAACAAAAUUGUUGCCAAAAUCAGUAUUUAAAAA